UUUUCUGAUUCUUGAUGUCUGUGCAUUUGCUUCAGAGCUUUGGUGGAGCAGGAUCUGCAAGAAAAGGUGACGACAGUAUUUGUUAGAAAAAAAAAAGAGGAAAACCUGAAACAAAAUAAAAAUAUAUAUAAAGAUGUGAAUGUCCUCAGACUGGUGAGAGCACUGAGGAUGGAGAGACACAGCAGAUCCUGGGAAUGGUUCAGUGUCAUGGACGAGAUCCUUCAUCAUUCCUCCUUCCAAGUGACUCGAUCAAGGACACACUGGAGGAGACGCUGCAGAGAUCGAACCAGCAACCUUCUGCUGACCAGCUCAGUGGUUUAGACCACCACACCACAAAACUAAUGAAGCCAUGACAAGAAUUAGCAAUUGAAAAAUAUGAAAUGAAAUAUGCAAGAAACAGAAUGCUGACAUGAAUUAAUUGUAAAAUGUUUUAAUCUGCUGAUGGAGAGCACAUGAAUGUUUGCAGCAGCAGAUUGUCCCGCACAUCUUCUCCCACUCCUGCUCCAAGGUUGAGGGGUUCAGGGGUCCAUCAUCAUCAUCAUCAUCAUCAUCAUCUUCAGCAGUGAGGAACAUGAUGAUGAAGGUGUUCAUCAGCUGCUUGAUCAGAAUAAAGCUGCAGAAUUGGCACAGCUGUGUUGAGAUGACAACAGGACUGUAAAUACCUGAUUGUUAGAUCAAUACAUUUGAAUAAAGCUUUGUUUCGUGUGUUGUUGACUUGUAUAUGCAUUUAUUUGUCAUUAUUACUUUUAUUAAUUCUUUACUUAUUAAUUAUGCUAUUAUAAGUAAAUGUAUAUAUUUUAAUAAGCAAUGAAUUAAUGCAUGAAUUGACUGUAAAUGGAGAUGUAUUCACAUCAGCUGUAUUUGUCUAGUGUGUGUUCAUGCACAGCUGUCAUAUAACUAAACAUUACAUUUUGCUUGUUUUAUUAAAGAAGUAAAAUGAAAAGUAAUAUAAUUAAGUUUUGGUCAGCAUU